rnacentral:rRNA from 1 species
CCUACGGGUGGCAGCAGUCGAGAAUCAUUCACAAUGGGGGAAACCCUGAUGGUGCGACGCCGCGUGGGGGAAUGAAGGUCUUCGGAUUGUAAGCCCCUGUCAUGUGGGAGCAAAUUAAAAAGAUAGUACCACAAGAGGAAGAGACGGCUAACUCUGUGCCGGCAGCCGCGGUAAUACAGAGGUCUCAAGCGUUGUGCGGAAUCACUGGGCGUAAUGCGUGCGUCGGCUGUUUCGUAAGUCGUGUGUGAAAUGCGCGGGCUCAACCCGCGGACGGCUAAUGAUACUGCGAGACUAGAGUAAUGGAGAGGGAGCCAGAAUUCUCGGUGUAGCAGUGAAAUGCGUAGAGAUCGGGAGGAACACUCGUGGCGAAGGCGGGUUCCUGGACAUUAACUGACGCUGAGGCACGAAGGCCAGGGGAGCGAAAGGGAUUAGAUACCCUUGUAGUC